AUGAAGUGUGCAAUGUCUGCAGACAGUAGCAUCCUUGGUAGUGUACGCAGCCUAUUGCUAGUAUGGGUUGCCUUAAGGGACCUUGGAUACAGCC